GCACGUGCCGCCGGCGUGCUUUGGAAAGCACGGAGCUUCCCCUGCUCUCUGGCCAACCCCAUGCCAGUGCUGACGGCGGGCAGAGGAAGGUUGCCGCAGAGACCGUGGCAAAGCACACGUCUGCAGUGCCGCCAUGGAUACCACAAAAUACAAUGCGAUUCAUAAGAAUGAAAACUCAGGGCCCGUCGUGACUGUCAAAAGGGAAGGGCAAAAUACGCAACUGGGACAGGACGGGUGGGAAUUUGGAAUGUGUGUGUGUGUGGGGGGGGGGGUUAAGGUCAGGGCAUUUUAGAUUUGGUUUGCUGUACGCUAAACAUGCAGCACUUACCACGGGGGGGGGCAACUGGCUCUGUGCCAAGGCAAGGGCAGAAAGUGUCCUGAUCACCUCUUCACAAUAGGGCUGCAUAUUUGGCAACGAUAUCAAACCCCCCCUUCCUUUCAUUCUAUUUUUGAGAAAAUAAAUAGGUAUUCUGUGCGUUUCCAUGGAGGCCGCUUAAGACAAAAACAAUGUCUCAAGGAGAACCAGGGCUAAAUAUGAAUUGUCAACGACGAUUAUCUUUCCCUCUGCUAAUUCUUGCUUGCGGGAAAGGAAGGAGCGGGAUUUAUCUGUAAGUGUCGGAUCAGGACAGUCUUGGGACUAACAGGAUGUGGGACCCUUCAUGGCAGUGCUCACUAGUUCUCUACAUCUGACAGUAAAACGUCCAUCAAUGAGGACAGAUAAAGAUGCAACCCCCCCCCCCCCAGAGAUGGGGCAAAGAUUUACAGACUUUCAAAAUCUCCAAAUUAUAAUCUGGACUGGGCCGCCUGUGCGACCUAGAUGGUGCUGAUGAUGCCUUAUUUACCAGUCACAUGACCCACUGUCUUCUGUGUCAGCAGGGCCUCAGAGUGGUGCCAAGCCUGGGUGCCUGGAUGUGGAUAGCAGUCCGUUGUAAUGCGGCAGGUGGAGGGCAGCAGGAGGAACUGGGAGCCUCCUUGAGGCGCCACGACAAGUUGAGAUGGGGGGGUCAGCCCGCCCCUGGCUCCCUGACUCAUUGUUCCACUGACAAUCCCAUUGUUGCCUUGAGGCCCCCCUGGAAGUUGGAGGAUAUGAAACAAUAGGCACCGUGCAUUUGGGUCAGCUUGUCGGGUCUCAAACCCACGCCCUUCACACUCCUCCUGGUGCCCAGGGCCGCCCUGCUCCCCAUUGCUCUUUCUAAUCACAGGUGGAAAUGGGAACCUGUGCCAAUGGCUCAGAUAUGCCGUUAGAUCCAGACAAGCCAGCAGAGGCAAUGAGACCAACAGUGUUACCAAGGCCAGUUGCAUUGCAAGUUACAUUAAAAUGUGUUACCAAAAUUUCCCAAGAAAACUGCAAAGUGCUCAUGCUUUGAAAAAAAAACAUUCGGGGUAAAGGAUGGUCCUUGGUGGCAGAUAUAACAGAAGCUCAUGCUAUUUGUAGGUAUGGCAGCUGCACCCAGGUUAAGCCUGCAAAUGAAGCUUCCUAAGACUUCAAACCUGGGCCUCAAUGACCUUGAGCUCUCCUAGCAAGAUGCUGUGUGUGAUGAUGGACUUAUUAUAAGCCCAGAAAUCAGCCAUGACAACCACUUCCACGACAACAGCAGCUUAGUGGUGUUGAUGACUCUCCCUCGAGACUUCAUCAGGGCAAAAGCGGAGCAUCAAGGAUUUUUGGGACAAGGAGAACGACGACAAGGUUACAGAGACAUGAAUCAUGGUAUGGCAGAGCAGGAAGUGGGAAGGCUUUUAUAUCCUGAGGUGAUAUGGAAAUAUGGAAGCCCAAAUGAUGUGCAAAGUGUGUGGGUUCUGCUGCUCACGGAAUUCCUAAACAAGUCAGCAUAGAAGUGCCUACUGAUGAAGGACGUAUAGCAGGUAAAAUGACAGUUCAGUUCUCUGUUUUAGCUGCACGAAAUACUAUUUCAUUUGUAUAUCAGGAAAAGAACCUUACAAGUACCUUAAAAAAAGUACCCAAAGCAACGCAAAAUGCGCUUUUUCAGAUGGAAAAAUUAAUAUGUGAUAUCACCGCCAAAACUUUGCAAUCCCCACGGUGCACUGCUGGCUGGGUCCCUAAGCAGGGUGGGUGUGGCUGUGCGAUCCGCCCAGGCCUGGGUCGCAAUGGGGCCAUGGGUGGUAUUGAGCACCUGUGCAGCUUGUGAGAGCAAGCCAGCCUCCAGCAUUCCAAAAAUCCAGUCUGGACAGCUCUGGGGCUAUAGGGCUCUGGCCUGGGAGAAGAAUUUGAGGCACAGUGCUCUUGCAGGGUCUCUGAGUCGCAGUGGCUCUGAGGCAUCGACCCAACAGACGCCACAGGAGCUGACGAAGGAGUUUAAAAAACAUACAUAUGCAAACACAAACACAGUCACCAAAAACUCACCUCAUAGCUCAACGCCCACUCGACAAACACUAACAAACUUUCGCACGGCAGAGAAAAAAAUAAAACAACAUGUAAGUUUCUCCAUGAGCAAGAGUCUCCAGGAGGCUCAACCAAAUUGUCAUCAGAAGGAUGACUAAUGUAAUGGGCAGAUUUAGUUAAUUUUGAACGUUUUAACUAUUCACUUUAUUAAUUGUGCCAGGCAAUUUAUCUUGAAGGUCACAGACUUUCCGAAUCGUUCAGUCAGCUGUCACUCCUUGACUCCAACUGCGUCAUUUACUGGACAUCAAACACAUGUCCAGGCAAAUACAUCUACAGAAGGUGCAGAGACUCAUAAGAGUCACCUGGAGAGAAUCUGUGACUUAACUAAAAACAGGAACGGUGGAUAAGUAGCCCACUCUUAGGCGCGUCGGCCUAGAUGGAGUGAAGAAGUGGUUUCUAAAAUACCAAUGAAAAAAUUGCAUCUGGUAAGAUGUUCAUGCAUCUCAAAAUUAAAGGAAACUGCUUAUUGAUCAACGGGUGAAUUUAGCCAGGGUCCUCUUUAUUAGACAAAUUAUAAAGUCAUUUUUAAUAAUCUUCCAGGAAUUAUCGGAUUAGUAAGGUGAAACAGAAUUAAUUUGUAUUGGCAAGCAUAAAUCCGCAUUGAUCCAGCAGGUGCCAUCAGUACCAGGGAUAUGCAGAGCUGGCUCAGUGGAGAAGCAUCAAAGGGCACGGAGAGGGACUAAAGGUGGAGAACCAGCAGCCACGCUCCAUUACGCUGGCCGUCCACGCGAGAGGGACGACGGAGCCGCUGGCCGACCUUCUGCACAGACGGCAUAGCUCAAAUCGAAUCCUUUUAAACCUCAAAUUUUGGCCAAACACAAAUCUAAUCUGGGUUUCAUUCAAUAGACAUUUGCAACCUAUCAACCUCUUAAAAGCUCCGACGAAAGGGAGAGAGGCUUAGCCGUUGCACAACUGCCUUAUGGUGUUAAAACAUCUUUCUGAUAAGAGAAGAUAUCUUACCCCAAUAAACACUUGCAUAACCAA